UGAGGAAUAUUGGUCAAUGGGCGAGAGCCUGAACCAGCCAAGUAGCGUGCAGGAUGACGGCCCUAUGGGUUGUAAACUGCUUUUAUAUGGGAAUAAAGUGAGGGACGUGUCCCUUAUUGCAUGUACCAUAUGAAUAAGGACCGGCUAAAUCCGUGCCAGCAGCCGCGGUAAUACGGAAGGUCCAGGCGUUAUCCGGAUUUAUUGGGUUUAAAGGGAGCGUAGGCCGUUUGGUAAGCGUGUUGUGAAAUGUAGGAGCUCAACUUCUAGAUUGCAGCGCGAACUGUCAGACUUGAGUGCGCACAACGUAGGCGGAAUUCAUGGUGUAGCGGUGAAAUGCUUAGAUAUCAUGAAGAACUCCGAUUGCGAAGGCAGCUUACGGGAGCGCAACUGACGCUGAAGCUCGAAGGUGCGGGUAUCGAACAGG
rnacentral:rRNA from 1 species